rnacentral:rRNA from 1 species
AGGUAGCAUAAUAAUUUGUUGCUUAAUUAGUAACUAGUAUAAAAGGUGUCACGAAUAGUUUACUUUUUCGUUUACAUGUAAUUUUAUUUAAGAAUAAAAAAGUUCUUACAAUAUGAAAAGACGAUAAGACCCUAAAACCUUUACUAUAUUAAUAGUUUUGCUGGGGCGGCAAACAAUUUAACUAUACACAAGUUAACAUGCUGAAUGUAUUUUUUAAACUAAAUAAAAUAAAAUUAAAAAGGUACUUUAGGGAUAACAGAAUAAUUUUUAUUGAGAGUCCUGAUCUACAUAGAAGUUUAUUACCUCGAUGUUGAAUUGAAUAUUCUAAUGGAGCAGCAUCUAUUAGAC